UACGUAGGGUGCAAGCGUUGUCCGGAAUUAUUGGGCGUAAAGAGCUUGUAGGCGGUUUGUCGCGUCUGCUGUGAAAUUUCGGGGCUCAACCCCGAACUUGCAGUGGGUACGGGCAGACUAGAGUGUGGUAGGGGAGACUGGAAUUCCUGGUGUAGCGGUGAAAUGCGCAGAUAUCAGGAGGAACACCGAUGGCGAAGGCAGGUCUCUGGGCCACUACUGACGCUGAGGAGCGAAAGUGUGGGGAGCGAACAGG
rnacentral:rRNA from 1 species